CGGGUAGAGUAAUACAUAAGUAACCUGCCCUAGACAGGGGGAGUAACUAUUGGAAACGAUAGCUAAGACCGCAUAGGUACGGACACUGCAUGGUGACCGUAUUAAAAGUGCCUCAAAGCACUGGUAGAGGAUGGACUUAUGGCGCAUUAGCUGGUUGGCGGGGUAACGGCCCACCAAGGCGACGAUGCGUAGCCGACCUGAGAGGGUGACCGGCCACACUGGGACUGAGACACGGCCCAGACUCCUACGGGAGGCAGCAUG
rnacentral:rRNA from 1 species